rnacentral:rRNA from 1 species
ACCGGCAGCUCAAGUGGUGGCCAUUUUUAUUGGGCCUAAAGCGUUCGUAGCCGGUUUGAUAAGUCUCUGGUGAAAUCCCGCAGCUUAACUGUGGGACUUGCUGGAGAUACUAUUAGACUUGAGGUCGGGAGAGGUUAGUGGUACUCCCAGGGUAGGGGUGAAAUCCUAUAAUCCUGGGAGGACCACCGAUGGCGAAGGCGACUAACUGGAACAAACCUGACGGUCAGCGGCGAAAGCCAGGGGCGCGAACCG